UUGAGCCAAUCAAAAAUGAAAAUCCACCUUGAGAAGAUGGGACUUAGAUUUGUGGUCAAUUGACUUUAGUCCAAGUAAGAGAUUGUUAGAUGUAUGUCCUAGAAGCCAAUAUGGUUGACAUGUUAUAAUAAAUCUCGGAUACAAUUUUAUACUUAGUAUAUUGAUAUGAUCAAUAAAAGGAUAUUUUUUUUUCAUUCAAGUGUGAUGUGUCCUUGAAUCAUCCAUGAAAUUAGUUUCGAUACAUAUUCUCAAAGUGUUGAGAAUUAGAGACAUGUAUUUAAUUCCUAAAUGCUCUCGAUCAUAGGAUCAUCUGAGGACG
rnacentral:lncRNA from 1 species